GCCGAAGUGGCUCAGUGGUAGAGCACCACACUCAUAAUGUGGGGGUCGCGAGUUCGAUUCUCGCCUUCGGCA
rnacentral:tRNA from 1 species